rnacentral:rRNA from 1 species
UAACAUCCGGAAACGGGUGCUAAUACCGCAUAGGUUUUCUUGAUCGGCAUGAUUGAGAAGGAAAGACGGCCUUUGUGCUGUCGCUUAUGGAUGGACCCGCGGCGUAGUUAGUUAGUUGGUGAGGUAACGGCUCACCAAGACGAUGGAUACCGUAGCCGACCUGAGAGGGUGAUCGGCCACAUUGGGACUGAGACACGGCCCAAACUCCUACGGGAGGCAGCAGUAGGGAAUCUUCCGCAAUGGACGAAAGUCUGACGGAGCAACGCCGCGUGAGUGAAAGAAGGUUUUCGGAUCGUAAAACUCUGUUGUCAGAGAAGAACAAGUUGGAGAGUAACUGCUCCGGCCUUGACGGUAUCUGACCAGAAAGCCACGGCUAACUACGUGCCAGCAGCCGC